rnacentral:lncRNA from 1 species
CCUUUCCAUCCUCCUUUAUUCCAGGCCUGCCUUGAGAACAAAAAUCCCUUCCAAUGAUACGCCUGAGCUGUGCAGGCUCAGCUUGAUAUGUACAGUGUGGUCCAAAUCAUUUGAAGUUUGCAGGUCACCAGCUGCCAUGGUGUGUGUCAAACACCUGACCUGAAUCUUUCCAAUUAACUAAUAAUGUACUGCCCUCAGGUGAUGUUGGCGACUCCUCUAUUCUUCCCGCAGCAGGACAACUGGCGGACUUAGGGCCUUUGAUGAGCUGCAGACUGUGACCUCUUGCUUGGUUAAGGGAAUCAGUGAAUAAGGCCCAGCUGUUGCUUGUAAGGUAGAGCUCUGGAGUGAAGGUUUAAAGAGAGUUCUAGAAUGUAGUGAGCUCUUUUUCUAGCAGGAGAUGGGUUGGGCAGGAGAUGGGUUGGUUUAGUUUUCUUCCCUUUUUUGAUCCCAGUCAGUUGUAUGUAGCGAGUGCUUACUGUGUGCAGAGAACUGUAUUAAAUGUGUGGGGAUGGUGCAGUAUAACAGGUUUGGUAGACAUCUUCUCUGCUUAGAAAGAGUUUCCCCUUGUUAUUGUUAGUGGGUCUGUUCUGGGUUUAAUGGUGGUCCAGGCUAAAGUUUUCAAUGUCUUCACUGGGCUUCAUCAACUGUUUAAGUGGCCUCUAAAUUGGAAGGGACCUGAGGACCUUGUCCCCCCUAUUCCCUCCACUCCUUAAAGUCAGGAAAGAGCCUCUGAAUGGAUUGGAGUGAGAUGAUAUAGAGGGGUGGGCCUGUUCCCUAGAAGACUCAUUCUUGGAGAAGCUGUCUGAACAAAAAUGUAGAGGCGGAGCGCUUCUCUGCCAGCAGGCUGGGGGAGCGAGCGUAGGGGCCGCUCUCCCCGCAGCUCGGAGCGGAGCUAUUUUUGCCAGCCACCCUCUCCCUGUCUCUCCGUGCCUCUCCUCUCUUUCACGGGCGCGUACGCACACGCAGGCACACACCCAGGCGGCCGGGCCCCCGGCCCCGACUCUGGGGGUCUCCGGCCGGGCCCCCCCCCCCUCCCCUCGGGCGGGCCGGGGGCGGCCCCCGGACGGCCGCGAUGCCGCCCGGCCCGGCCUCGGCCGGACCCGUCGGAGGGGCUUAGACCCAGCCCGCGACCCCCCCGCCCACCCCGGGGCCGGGGCCGGGGCCGGGGCCGGGGAGGGGGCGGCAUGAGACUCCGUCGCGGGGAGAGCAGCUCCGGCCCUGCGCCAGGGCCCGUCGAUGACGCCCAGGGGAGCCCGGGACGGGCCGAACCUCUCUCUGCACGGUAG